rnacentral:lncRNA from 10 species
CGGAGCUGCCACAACCCAUCUUCCCACAACUCGGAACUUGGAAAAAGGAACCCAGGACACGACUUUGCUUUUCUUUUGGACCUAGUUGAUACAAGUUAACAGGAUAUGCUUCUGGCCUGUUUCUGGAUUCUAAGGGUAGAACCAGCAUAAAACUAGUCAGUCCAAGUAUUUCUAAAGAUCCACAGACACAGUUCUCCUGGAUUUGGGAAGCCUAGAGAUAUUAGCACAAUAAUUAAGGCCCAACAACUUUUAAAAGCCUUUCCACUGCACAGUGAAAGAAAACCACAAACUCCUUGUUUAAUAAGUGGGAUCACGUGCUUUUAACACGAGGAAAAGGUCAAUCUGAAGCAACUGAUAUGGAACUGCCAGAGUAGGAGUUGAAAAUCUUCCUAAACUGCUGGAGGAUACACCUCUGAUAGCUUGAGACAAAUAUCCUCUUGAUCAUUGUUUCACCAUAUUUGUCUUUGCUCAUGGAGAACCAUUUUGAUCCGUGGUUUAGCCUCCCAGGUGAUUGAACAAUACCGGUGAUCUGAGGCAGACCCUCUGUGACGGAUAACAGGAAAGAAUAUUGAUUGAACAUCUACUCAAGAACUGCAAAACAGAGAUUACCUGACCUAAAGCAUUUAUAUUGCCAAUCAUGUUGGAGAGUCCAUGUGGUGAUUUCUGAAAACGAGAUGUGAGAAAGAAGAGGAUAAUUUAAGUCUAGACCUACAGAUUGUGCUGAUAAAGUGAUGAAGAACUACAAUCUUCUUAGUCAUUUCAUUGUA